rnacentral:rRNA from 1 species
AACGCUGGCGGUAUGCUUAACACAUGCAAGUCGAACGACAAAAUUGGGGCUUGCUCCAAUUUUAGUGAGUGGCAAACGGGUGAGUAACACGUGGGAAUCUACCUAUCAGUACGGAAUAACAUUUGGAAACAGAUGCUAAUACCGUAUAUUCUCCAAGGAGGAAAGAUUUAUCGCUGAUAGAUGAGCCCGCGUAAGAUUAGGUAGUUGGUAGGGGUAAUGGGCCUCCAAGCCGACGAUCUUUAGCUGGUCUGAGAGGAUGAUCAGCCACACUGGGACUGAGACACGGCCCAGACUCCUACGGGAGGCAGCAGUGGGGAAUAUUGGACAAUGGGCGAAAGCCUGAUCCAGCAAUACCGCGUGAAUGAUGAAGGCCUUAGGGUUGUAAAGUUCUUUAGUUGGAAAGAUAAUGACGGUACCAACAGAAAAAGCCCCGGCUAACUCCGUG